rnacentral:rRNA from 1 species
GACGAACGCUGGCGGCGUGCUUAACACAUGCAAGUCGAACGAGGUCCAUGAAGUAGCAAUACUUCGGAAGACCUAGUGGCGAACGGGUGCGUAACGCGUGAGGAACUUGUCCCGGUCUCUGGGAUAACAGUUGGAAACGACUGCUAAUACCGGAUGACGUCGGAGCAUCGCAUGGUGCGCUGACGAAAGGGUUACUGGAUCGGGAGAGCCUCGCGGCCUAUCAGCUUGUUGGUGGGGUAACGGCCUACCAAGGCAUCGACGGGUAGCUGGUCUGAGAGGAUGAUCAGCCACACUGGGACUGAGACACGGCCCAGACUCCUACGGGAGGCAGCAGUGGGGAAUCUUGCGCAAUGGGCGAAAGCCUGACGCAGCAACGCCGCGUGCGGGAAGAAGGCCCUCGGGUUGUAAACCGCUUUCAGUAGGAACGAAAUGACGGUACCUGCAGAAGAAGGUGCGGCCAACUACGUGCCAGCAGCCGGGUAAUAGUACU